AUCCAGUAUAUUUGACAAAUCGGCUGACUGUGAAGGGAACACAGAAGAAAGUGUUUCCAUAUGAAAUAAUUCCCUACUGUGCAGUGAGUGUUUCCAGUGUUUGGAUUCCUGGGUCCUCUCCAGCCUUCGUUGUCCCUAUCAGGAUAUCAGAGACAAGAUUAUAGAUCUGCACACAGCUGGAAUCGGAUACAAGACCAUUAGCGAGAAGCUUGGUGAGGAGGUAACAACUGCUGGUGCAAUUAAAUGGAAAUGGGAGAAAUAUUAAAG